UACGUAGGGGGCGAGCGUUGUCCGGAUUUAUUGGGCGUAAAGAGCGUGUAGGCGGCCAGGUAGGUCUGCUGUGAAAACUCGAGGCUCAACCUCGAGACGUCGGCGGAAACCAUCUGGCUAGAGUCCGGGAGAGGAGAGUGGAAUUCCUGGUGUAGCGGUGAAAUGCGCAGAUAUCAGGAAGAACACCCGUGGCGAAGGCGGCUCUCUGGGACGGUACUGACGCUGAGACGCGAAAGCGUGGGGAGCGAACAGG
rnacentral:rRNA from 1 species